ACACGACUACAUUAGAUACCCGCGUAGUCCUAGCCGUAAACGAUACUCGCUAGGUGUCGGCCACGGUGCGACCGUUGUCGGUGCCGUAGGGAAGCCGUGAAGCGAGCCACCUGGGAAGUACGGCCGCAAGGCUGAAACUUAAAGGCAUUGGCGGGGGAGCACAACAACGGGUGGAGCUUGCGGUUUAAUUGGAUUCAACGCCGGAAAUCUUACCGGGACCGACAGCAACAUGAAGGCCAGGCUGAAGACUUUGCCGGAUUAGCUG
rnacentral:rRNA from 1 species